rnacentral:rRNA from 1 species
AUUGAACGCUGGCGGCAUGCCUUACACAUGCAAGUCGAACGGUAACAGGUCUUCGGAUGCUGACGAGUGGCGAACGGGUGAGUAAUACAUCGGAACGUGCCUAGUAGUGGGGGAUAACUACUAGAAAGAGUGGCUAAUACCGCAUGAGAUCUACGGAUGAAAGCAGGGGAUCGCAAGACCUUGUGCUACUAGAGCGGCCGAUGGCAGAUUAGGUAGUUGGUGGGAUAAAAGCUUACCAAGCCGACGAUCUGUAGCUGGUCUGAGAGGACGAUCAGCCACACUGGGACUGAGACGCGGCCCAGACUCCUACGGGAGGCAGCAGUGGGGAAUUUUGGACAAUGGGCGAAAGCCUGAUCCAGCAAUGCCGCGUGCAGGAUGAAGGCCUUCGGGUUGUAAACUGCUUUUGUACGGAACGAAAAGCCCCGGGUUAAUACCCUGGGGUCAUGACGGUACCGUAAGAAUAAGCACCGGCUAACUACGUGCCAGCAGCCGCCGUAA